rnacentral:lncRNA from 1 species
CUCUCCUCGAAGCGCCGCUUCGCACUAGUGGAUUGCCUCUUUGAAUGCGCUCAGCUCAACUUGCGCUCACUGAGAGCAGUGCAUAUACCGGGCUGGCUGAACCAAGGAGCAGACAUGCUGUCUAAGAGCAACGUCCCCUCGGAGGAGUGGAUGCUCCACAAUCAACGGGUCAGAAAAUCUGGGUGAUCUUCUGCAGGGCAGAGGUCGACCUCUUAGCCUCAGAAGACAACUCUCACCGCACAACUUACUUUUCGAAGGACAGGGCCACAACUGGCCCAACCUCCUGCUUUACGCUUUUCCCCUGAUCGCUCUGAUUCCACAGGUGAUCAGGCGAGUCAGGGAACAGAAACGCAAGGUUCUGUUGGAGGCCCCGCUCUGGAGGAAACAGCACAGGUUUGCAGAGCUGUGCCGGCUGCUCUCGACAUCUCUGAUAUUGUUCCAACAGCAAGAGCUGUUGGAUAAGGGCCGAUCCCCUUCCACGCUCAAGGUCUAUGUAGCAGCCAUAGCAGCCUCUCACGCUCCUAUAGCUGGCCAAUCGGUGGGCAGGAACAACUUGGUUGUUCAUUUUCUGAAGGGGUCUAGAAGGCUCAACUCGCCUCGCCCCAUCACUGUCCCUACAUGGGAUCUGCCCACGGUGUUGAGGGGUCUGAAGAGCCUUCCAUUUGAGCCGCUACAGUCCAUUGACCUUCGUCCCCUGACGCUUAAGACUGCUCUGCUUUUAGCAUUAGCAUCGGUAAAGCAUAUGGGAGAUCUGCAGGCGCUAUCAGUGAGCCCCACCUGCCUCGAAUUCGGGCCCAACGAGUCUAAGGUCAUCCUAAAACCAAGGCACGGUUAUGUACCUAAAGUGCUCUCUACUCCAUUUAGAGCACAGGUAAUAACUCUAUCGGUGCUUCCUCCUUCGGAGCAAGACCAAGAGUUAAACUUACUCUGUCCCGUCAGGGCACUGAAAGUCUAUGUUGAGCGUUCCACCCUGUUCAGGCUGCCGGAUCAGCUAUUCGUAUGCUUCGGUGACCGCACCAACGGUUGUCCGGUUACGAAGCCGAGACUUUCCAAAUGGAUAAAUGACGCUAUUAUGCUAGCAUACUCUUCUUUGGGCCUUCAAUGCCCCAUGGGAGUAAGAGCCCACUCAACUAGAGGUGUUGCCUCUUCCUGGGCCUGGUCUAGCGGUGUGUCCAUUGCAAACAUUUGUGUGGCGGCCGGCUGGUCCUCGCCGUCCACAUUUGCCAGAUUCUAUAGUCUGGACAUCCCGGCCUUACAGGCGCGGGUCCUUUCUCCAUAGCAGGGCA